rnacentral:rRNA from 1 species
CACGUAGGGGGCAAGCGUUGUCCGGAUUUAUUGGGCGUAAAGAGCUCGUAGGUGGUUCGAUAAGUCGAGUGUGAAAACUCCAGGCUCAACCUGGAGACGCCACCCGAUACUGUCGUGACUAGAGUCCAGUAGGGGAGCGUGGAAUUCCUGGUGUAGCGGUGAAAUGCGCAGAUAUCAGGAGGAACACCAGUGGCGAAGGCGGCUUUCUGGUCUGUAACUGACGCUGAGGCGCGAAAGCGUGGGGAGCAAACAGG